UAUUCCCUUUCCCUAUCGAGCAUUUCUGAACGGACCGUCCACGAAGUCAGUUCAAGUGCAAGUGGUGAGAAAGAACACGUGACGCCUAGGAGAGUCAGCCAUUACGUCAACAGAUUGGCUAACCCGGUACGACGUUCAAUUUGCACCGGUUGAAUUAGGCGUUAGAGAGUUAGUUCGGAUUGAGUCAGCACCCACAGUUUGCCGUGGGUCAAAAUCUAGGGUCCCAAAACCCCUCCAGGAAGGAACCGUCCGCUACGAGGUUCUCCGAUCGACUCUCCAUCAUCCUGGCACACCGGAACUGCUCGGCGCACCCUGCAC